rnacentral:ncRNA from 1 species
CCUGCUAACUAGCUACACGGAGGUGAUCCUCCGUGGCUAGCUUCUUAGAGGGACUAUGGCCUUUUAGGCCACGGAAGUUUGAGGCAAUAACAGGUCUGUGGUGCCCUUGGAAAGGGGCCUAAGUCCCCUAGAAAGGGGCACCGGAGAGGGUGAGAGCCCCAUCAUGCCCGGACCCUGUCGUAUCAUGAGGCACUGUCUACAAGUCAGGUUGUUUAGGAAUGCAACCCUAAUCGGGCUGUAAAUUCCGUCUAAGGCUAAAUACGGGUGAGAGACCGAUAGCGAACAAGUACCGCGAGGGAAAGAUGAAAAGGACUUUGAAAAGAGAGUCAAAGAGUGCUUGAAAUUGUCAGGAGGAAAGCGGAUGGGGGCCGGUAAUGCGCCCCAAUCAAAGUGGAACGGUGAGAGCCGGUCUACCGAUCGGCUCGAGGUGUGGACCUACGCGGGUCGUGUCGAUGGCCCAAGCUCCGGCCUUUGAUACGCCUGUGGAGACGUUAUCGCCUCGAUCGUGGGAUCCAGCACGCACUGUCUCGGCGUACUUCGGCACCUAUGUGUUCCGGGCAUCGGCCUGCGGGCUCCCCAUUCGGCCCAUCUUGAAACACGG